rnacentral:rRNA from 1 species
UACGAAGGGGGCGAGCGUUAUCCGGAAUUACUGGGCGUAAAGCGCACGCAGGCGGUUCGCCAAGUUUGGAGUGACAGUUGUCGGCUCAACCGACAAAGGACUUCAAAAACUGGUGAACUUGAGGACGAGAGAGGAACAUGGAACUCCAGGUGUAGUAGUGAAAUGCGUAGAUAUCUGGAAGAACACCAAUGGCGAAGGCAAUGUUCUGGCUCGUUUCUGACGCUCAGGUGCGAAAGCCAGGGGAGCGAACGGG